rnacentral:rRNA from 1 species
GAUGAACGCUGGCGGCGUGCCUAAUACAUGCAAGUCGAGCGAACAGACGAGGAGCUUGCUCCUCUGACGUUAGCGGCGGACGGGUGAGUAACACGUGGAUAACCUACCUAUAAGACUGGGAUAACUUCGGGAAACCGGAGCUAAUACCGGAUAAUAUAUUGAACCGCAUGGUUCAAUAGUGAAAGACGGUUUUGCUGUCACUUAUAGAUGGAUCCGCGCCGCAUUAGCUAGUUGGUAAGGUAACGGCUUACCAAGGCAACGAUGCGUAGCCGACCUGAGAGGGUGAUCGGCCACACUGGAAGUGAGACACGGUCCAGACUCCUACGGGAGGCAGCAGGAGGGAAUCUUCCGCAAGAGGCGAAAGCCUGACGGAGCAACGCCGCGUGAGGGAUGAAGGUCUUCGGAUCGUAAAACUCUGUUAUUAGGGAAGAACAAAUGUGUAAGUAACUAUGCACGUCUUGACGGUACCUAAUCAGAAAGCCACGGCUAACUACGUGC